GUGGGGAAUCUUAGACAAUGGGGGCAACCCUGAUCUAGCCAUGCCGCGUGAGUGAUGAAGGCCUUAGGGUCGUAAAGCUCUUUCGCCGGGGAAGAUAAUGACUGUACCCGGUAAAGAAACCCCGGCUAACUCCGUGCCAGCAGCCGCGGUAAUACGGAGGGGGUUAGCGUUGUUCGGAAUUACUGGGCGUAAAGCGCGCGUAGGCGGAUCGGAAAGUUGGGGGUGAAAUCCCGGGGCUCAACCCCGGAAUUGCCUUCAAAACUCCCGGUCUUGAGGUCGAGAGAGGUGAGUGGAAUUCCGAGUGUAGAGGUGAAAUUCGUAGAUAUUCGGAGGAACACCAGUGGCGAAGGCGGCUCACUGGCUCGAUACUGACGCUGAGGUGCGAAAGCGUGGGGAGCAAACAGGAUUAGAUACCCGAGUAGUCC
rnacentral:rRNA from 1 species